UGCGAAUGGCUCGGUAAAACAGCAAUAAUUUAUUCGGGGGUAAUUGCUACUUGGAUAACCGUAGUAAAGCUAGAGCUAAUACGUGCUACAAAGGCGAGAUUCGCUCUCGUGGUACUAAGUAUUAGGUACAACCCAAUUUUAUUGGUGAUUCAUACUUAUCUUCUGAUCGCACUCUGUGCGACGCCCCGAAUAAAUUUCUGACCUAUCAACUUCGAUGGUAAGGUAGUGUCUUACCAUGGUUGUGACGGGUAACGGACCGUGGGUGCGGGAUUCCGGAGAGGGAGCCUGAGAAACGGCU
rnacentral:rRNA from 1 species